rnacentral:rRNA from 1 species
AUUGAACGCUGGCGGCAUGCCUUACACAUGCAAGUCGAACGGUAACGCGGGGCAACCUGGCGACGAGUGGCGAACGGGUGAGUAAUGUAUCGGAACGUGCCCAGUUGUGGGGGAUAACUGCUCGAAAGAGCAGCUAAUACCGCAUACGACCUGAGGGUGAAAGCGGGGGAUCGCAAGACCUCGCGCAAUUGGAGCGGCCGAUAUCAGAUUAGGUAGUUGGUGGGGUAAAGGCCCACCAAGCCAACGAUCUGUAGCUGGUCUGAGAGGACGACCAGCCACACUGGGACUGAGACACGGCCCAGACUCCUACGGGAGGCAGCAGUGGGGAAUUUUGGACAAUGGACGCAAGUCUGAUCCAGCCAUGCCGCGUGCGGGAAGAAGGCCUUCGGGUUGUAAACCGCUUUUGUCAGGGAAGAAAAGGGCGACUCUAAUACAGUUGCCUCAUGACGGUACCUGAAGAAUAAGCACCGGCUAACCACGUGCCAGCCGCGGCCGUAACAC